UACGUAGGGUGCAAGCGUUGUCCGGAAUUAUUGGGCGUAAAGAGCUCGUAGGCGAUCUGUCGCGUCGGAUGUGAAAACCCAGGGCUCAACCCUGGGCCUGCAUUCGAUACGGGCAGACUAGAGUUCGGUAGGGGAGACUGGAAUUCCUGGUGUAGCGGUGAAAUGCGCAGAUAUCAGGAGGAACACCGGUGGCGAAGGCGGGUCUCUGGGCCGAAACUGACGCUGAGGAGCGAAAGCGUGGGGAGCAAACAGG
rnacentral:rRNA from 1 species